UACGGAGGAUGCAAGCGUUAUCCGGAAUGAUUGGGCGUAAAGCGUCCGCAGGUGGCUAUGUAAGUCUGCUGUUAAAGAGUGAGGCUCAACCUCAUAAGAGCAGUGGAAACUACAUGGCUAGAGUGCGUUCGGGGCAGAGGGAAUUCCUGGUGUAGCGGUGAAAUGCGCAGAUAUCAGGAAGAACACCAAUGGCGAAGGCAGCUCUCUGGGACGGUACUGACACUGAGACGCGAAAGCGUGGGGAGCGAACAGG
rnacentral:rRNA from 1 species